GGAAAUCGAGGGAGAUUUCUUACUAACUAUUGAAAUUAAAGGUAUUAACUUACUCGUCCUUUCCAUAGCAGUUUUGUAAAAUAAUCCAUAUUUUCCUUAAAGAGAAUUGUACUAUACUUAUAAUGCUUCUUGAUUAAGUUUUCUGAUCCGGUGAUGUCAGAUAGAGUGUUGAGCGUGAAUCAGAGUGAGCGGAGUCAGAGUCUUGCAGUCUUCAAAUAUUCUCUUAAAUAGUUUUCAUAUGUUAUCUUAAAUAGUCUUCAGAUGUUAUCUUGAAUAGUCUUCAGAUGUAGAGUCUUCAUAUAUAGAGUUGAACUACAUCGUCAGAUUCUGUAUGUGAUUGCUUCUUAGAAGUGUUCUUGUUCAGAGUCAUAUCUGAUUUCUUUGUGCUGGAUCAGCUUUUCUGGACUACGUCAGAUGCCUGAUAUUUGGUUUCCUCCGAUUCAUUUUAACUUAGAAACCUGCA
rnacentral:lncRNA from 1 species